rnacentral:rRNA from 1 species
CUUAAAUUGAAGAGUUUGAUCAUGGCUCAGAUUGAACGCUGGCGGCAGGCCUAACACAUGCAAGUCGAGCGGAAACGAGUUAUCUGAACCUUCGGGGGGCGAUAACGGCGUCGAGCGGCGCACGGGUG